AAGAAAUGGGAGAUCAUGGUCAUGAUGAUUCAGUUAGUAUUGGAUGCGCAGACAAUACACUAAUUGAUAAAACUGCACCACAGCCUAAUGAAGUCGAACCGCAUCCACAUCAAUCACCAAUAAAAAAGAAAGGACGAGUGGAAAAUGAUGACAAACAGAGAAGAGUUCGAGGAAUGAACAAGAACAAAAGAGUUGCAGCUCUGAAAAAUGAUGACCGACUAGAAGUAACUUUCUACAAAAAUCGAGCUGUUGGACCUAAUCAUGAGGCUUUUUCAAGACACUUGGGACGGAUUGUUCGUGAUUUUAAUAUUUGUUCUGUUAGAGUUCAUAGUUGGAAGGAAAUUGGAGAACAAGAGAAGAGCCACAUGUGGGCUGCAAUUAAGGUAAAUAAAAAUUAGUUGAUAUAUAUAUUUUCAAUUUUGGUUAUUGAUUUGUUCAACUUUUCUUUGUAGGAGAAGUUUAAAAAUGAUAA